rnacentral:rRNA from 1 species
UACGUAGGGCGCAAGCGUUGUCCGGAAUUAUUGGGCGUAAAGAGCUCGUAGGCGGCUUGUCACGUCGGGUGUGAAAGCCCGGGGCUUAACCCCGGUCUGCAUUCGAUACGGGCUAGCUAGAGUGUGGUAGGGGAGAUCGGAAUUCCUGGUGUAGCGGUGAAAUGCGCAGAUAUCAGGAGGAACACCGGUGGCGAAGGCGGAUCUCUGGGCCAUUACUGACGCUGAGGAGCGAAAGCGUGGGGAGCAAACGGG